GCAAGUCUGGUGCCAGCAGCCGCGGUAAUUCCAGCUCCAAUAGCGUAUAUUAAAGUUGUUGCAGUUAAAAAGCUCGUAGUGAAUUUCGGGAUCAAUAUUUCGGUCAUGCCAUUGGUAUGCACUGUUAUCAUUGAUUUCUCACCUUCUAAAGAACCAUAAUGCCAUUAAUUUGGUGUUACGGGGAAUUAGGACUGUUACCUUGAAAAAAUUAGAGUGUUUAAAGCAGGCUCACGCUUGAAUACAUUAGCAUGGAAUAAUGAAAUAGGACAUCCGAUUCUAUUUUGUUGGUUUCUAGGAUCGAUGUAAUGAUUAAUAGGGAUAGUUGGGGGCAUUAGUAUUCAAUUGUCAGAGGUGAAAUUCUUGGAUUUAUUGAAGACUAACUACUGCGAAAGCAUUUGCCAAGGAUGUUUUCAUUAAUCAAGAACGAAAGUUAGGGGAUCGAAGACGAUCAGAUACCGUCGUAGUCUUAACCAUAAACUAUGCCGACUAGGGAUCGGAUGAUGUUAAUUUUUUAAUGACUCAUUCGGCGCCUUACGGGAAAC
rnacentral:rRNA from 1 species